rnacentral:rRNA from 1 species
AACUGCGAGUGAAGCGGGAAAAGCUCAAAUUUAAAAUCUGGCGGUCUCCGGCCGUCCGAGUUGUAAUCUACAGAAGUGUUAUCCGCGCUGGACCGUGUACAAGUCUCCUGGAAUGGAGCGUCAUAGAGGGUGAGAAUCCCGUCUUUGACACGGACUACCAGGGCUCUGUGAUGCGCUCUCAAAGAGUCGAGUUGUUUGGGAAUGCAGCUCAAAAUGGGUGGUAAAUUCCAUCUAAAGCUAAAUAUUGGCGAGAGACCGAUAGCGAACAAGUACCGUGAGGGAAAGAUGAAAAGAACUUUGGAAAGAGAGUUAAACAGUACGUGAAAUUGCUGAAAGGGAAACGCUUGAAGUCAGUCGCGUUGGCCGGGGAUCAACCUUGCUUUUGCUGGGCGUACUUUCCGGUUGACGGGUCAGCAUCAAUUUUGACCAUUGGAUAAAGUCUAGAGGAAUGUGGCAUCUUCGGAUGUGUUAUAGCCUUUGGUCGCAUACAAUGGUUGGGAUUGAGGAACUCAGCACGCCGCAAGGCCGGGUACUUGUACCACGUUCGUGCUUAGGAUGCUGGCAUAAUGGCUUUAAUCGACCCGUCUUGAAACACGGACCAAGGAGUCUAACAUGCCUGCGAGUGUUUGGGUGGUAAACUCGGACGCGUAAUGAAAGUGAAAGUUGAGAUCCCUGUCGUGGGGAGCAUCGACGCCCGGACCAGACCUUUUGUGACGGAUCCGCGGUAGAGCAUGUAUGUUGGGACCCGAAAGAUGGUGAACUAUGCCUGAAUAGGGUGAAGCCAGAGGAAACUCUGGUGGAGGCUCGUAGCGAUUCUGACGUGCAAAUCGAUCGUCAAAUUUGGGUAUAGGGGCGAAAGACUAAUCGAACCAUCUAGUAGCUGGUUCCUGCCNAAGUUUCCCUCANGAUAGCAGAAACUCAUUUCA